rnacentral:rRNA from 1 species
GUCUAUGGCCUUAUCACCCUGAAUGGGCCCAGUCUUGUCGGAUCUUGGAAGUUAAGCAGGGUUGGGCCUGGUUAGUACCUACAUGGGAGAAAUAUGUAAAAACCCUUUCCUGGAUCAUCAAGGAACCAUUAAGA